CAGCAGCCGCGGUAAUACGUAGGGUGCGAGCGUUAAUCGGAAUUACUGGGCGUAAAGCGGGCGCGGACGGUUACUUAAGCAGGAUGUGAAAUCCCCGGGCUCAACCUGGGAACUGCGUUCUGAACUGGGUGACUAGAGUGUGUCAGAGGGAGGUAGAAUUCCACGUGUAGCAGUGAAAUGCGUAGAGAUGUGGAGGAAUACCAAUGGCGAAGGCAGCCUCCUGGGAUAACACUGACGUUCAUGCCCGAAAGCGUGGGUAGCAAGCAGGAUUAGAUACCCCUGUAGUCCCUGUCUCUUAUAC
rnacentral:rRNA from 1 species